rnacentral:misc_RNA from 1 species
UGUUGUGGAAUGUGGAUAACUUCAUUUAAUUUAUAUAGAUAUAUGCUGUUAAUACAUUUUCGAUUUUUCAGUUUCUCUCACACCCUUCAAUAUUUAGCUGCUAAUCAGCUAAUAUGGGAGGCCCUGGUGGUACAUGGACACCUCAUAAGAGGCGUGGACCAAUAGCAGCCGAGUUCUCCGGUCCUGGACCGGCAGCGAUAGCCUUGCCAUCUCUUUUUGGAAAUGUACAUGUGAAUGAAUCUACCAAGAUUAAGGCACCGGCCUAUACCUUUGGUAGCAAACCCAAAACUAAGGUUGAAUCCUGCUCCCCUGCCCCUAAUGUUUACAACACAUCAGGUCUUACAUCAAAAGGAAAAGACUGUGGUUAUGCUCAAACUAUUUGUGGACGAGGUCGAGAGGACAGAUUACCAACUACUCCAGCUCCUGGAACCUAUACACCAGAGAAAUCAGACAAAUAUCUAAACACUGCUCCACAACAAACCUUCGGUCAUAGAACUGAAAUAAAGAUGAACUCCGUUGCUCCAGCUCCUGGAACCUAUGAUACAGAGAAGGGUGAAAAAUAUCUCCAUUCUUCUCCACAUCAAACAUUUGGUCUAAAACCUGAAUUAAAGAUGAACUCAGUUGCUCCAGCUCCUGGAACCUAUGAUACAGAGAAAGGUGAAAAGUAUCUCCAUUCUUCUCCACAUCAAACAUUUGGUCUAAAACCUGAAUUAAAGAUGAACUCAGUUGCUCCAGCUCCUGGAACCUAUGAUACAGAGAAAGGUGAAAAGUAUCUUCAUUCUUCUCCACAUCAGACAUUUGGUUUGAAACCUGAAUUAAAGAUAAACUCUGUUGCUCCAGCCCCUGGAACCUAUGAUACAGAGAAAGGUGAAAAGUAUCUUCAUUCUUCUCCUCAUCAAACAUUUGGUCUGAAGCCUGAAUUAAAGAUAAACUCAGUUGCUCCGGCUCCUGGAACCUAUGAUACAGAGAAGAGUGAAAAAUAUCUCCAUUCUUCUCCACAUCAGACAUUUGGUCUGAAGCCUGAAUUAAAGAUGAACUCUGUUGCUCCAGCUCCUGGAACCUAUGAUACAGAGAAGAGUGAAAAAUAUCUCCAUUCCUCUCCACAUCAGACAUUUGGUCUUAAGCCUGAAUUAAAGAUGAACUCUGUUGCUCCAGCUCCUGGAACCUAUGAUACAGAGAAGGCUGAAAAAUAUCUCCAUUCUUCUCCACAUCAGACAUUUGGUCUGAAACCUGAAUUAAAGAUAAACUCAGUUGCUCCAGCCCCUGGAACCUAUGAUACAGAGAAGGGUGAAAAGUAUCUCCAUUCUUCUCCACAUCAAACAUUUGGUUUGAAACCUGAAUUAAAGAUUAACUCAGUUUCCCCAGCACCUGGAACCUACGACCCCGAAAAAGCUGACCGGCUAUUAAAUGGAGCGCCCCACCACAGCUUUGGGCUUAAGCCCGAGCAAAAGAUAAACUCCGUAGCUCCCGCUCCAGGAACUUAUAAUCCAGAGAAGGCAGAUCGUCUUUUAAACGGAGCACCCAAACAUAUUUUUGGUCUCAAACCGGAACAGAAAAUCAACUCAGUUGCCCCAGCACCUGGAACUUAUGACCCAGAGAAAGCUGAUCAAUUCUUAAAUGGAGCUCCCCACCACAGCUUUGGUCUUAAACCUGAAAUUAAGAUGAACACAAUAGCCCCUGCUCCAGGAACGUAUAAUCCUGAAAAGGCAGAUCGUCUUUUAAAUGGAGCACCACACCAUAGUUUCGGGCUAAGACCUGAGUUAAAAUUAAACUUCUCCACCCCUGCACCAAAUGCAUAUGAUUCUGAGAAGGGAGAAGAAUACCUUGCUGGUGGAAUGAGUAUAACUAUUGGUACAAGACUAAAGGAAGCUUCACCGUUCAGUACUCCAGCACCAAACACAUAUCGUCCAGAAGAUUGUAAAGAAUCUUCACAAGCUUCAAGUCUUCAUAUUAAACCAAAGGAACCAAAGAAGUUCCAAACCCCAGCUCCAGGCGCCUAUAAUCCUGAAAACGCUGACAAGGAGGUAAAUGCUUCCAGUGCUAAAUUCUCUUUUGGAAUCAAGCCUGAUAUCAAGAAGAUUUCUAGCUCUCCAGCUCCCAAUGCAUACACUGUUGAAGCUACUAAGGAUUCUCCAGCUUACAGUUUAGCAAGUAGAGCUAAGGAACUAAAGAAGUUUUCUACUCCAGCUCCAGGAGCUUACGAGGUAUAAUGAACCCUCUGAUAAUACAAUGAAACCUGGUCCUGGAGCUUAUGCAGCUGAAAAAAUAAAUUUGAGCACU